AUGGUGCCCGGUUAUACCGAUCUUGGAGAUUACCUGCCCGACGAUGUACAUUAUGAAAUCAUGGAGGUGGACGAACACAAAUACCAUUACGGGAAGCCUCUCGUCAAAGAUGUCAAAUCUCUAAGCACAAUGAUGCGAAGACUACAUGAGUGGUACAUGAAAACCUGCAGAGAGUCUGAUGGGAUGAGUACUUUAACGCUGAGAGUUAAACCGGAGCAUGACCUCGUUGGAAUUGAACUGCUGAAUGUUCCAUUUGAGGAUUUCUUCCAGUUUUACAAUCUAAUGUCCCUCGAUAAAACAACGAUCACUUGCUACUGUCUAUUGAAGAUCGCCGAAUUGAAGAAAAGACAAAUCGGUGAUAUUGGGUUCAUUAACACAAAUCUCAUAGAUGAUUAUCAGGUUAAAUUUCAUGCCAAAGAAGCCGAGGCCAACUUGCUACAAUCGUUGGUAAUAAAUCAAAACGAAGAUAUAAUACUCUUUCCUUACAACUUCAACUUCCACUAUAUUCUCCUAGAGAUUAAGCUUGAGCCGGGAGUAGUAACCGUCUUAGACUCGAGACGAAAAGAUCCCCAGGACUAUGCGAACAUGACUCAAAUGCUCUAG
rnacentral:rRNA from 1 species